UGAUAGCUAUGAAGCGAGAGGUUGCUACCACAUGGUAGGUUUUCCGUGGAGCGAAUGUCAAGUUAGGAAACUGACGACAA
rnacentral:ncRNA from 1 species